UACAGUAUGUACACAUUUAUUCCCAGAAAACAAAAGAUUGAUAAUCGAAUCAUAUUAUUAAAUUAAACAAUCAAUGUGCAACUAAUAAACUGUACUUGAAGAAGCAUUAAAUAUUUUAAUUAAGUAUUUUCAUUUAUUGUACACAUUAAAUAUUUCAAUUAAGUAUUUUCAUUUACUCUACACAUCUAACACAACCCUAAUAAACGUGAACAGUUCAGGUUGAAGUUUUAAAUACCCAGUAACAAAAUUUCCUUUUAAUACUUUCCAAAAUGUCUUACCAGCGUAGUUCUGCAGCAUAAUUAUAAAUUUCCAUAUACCAUAAGAAAAACAAAAGUUAAACCAUAUAUUUGAAUUACUUCAUUAAAAAUCAUUCACAUUUUGUAGAGUUCAAUGUCCAUGUACAAGUAUCACAGCCAAAUAGCCAGAGCGUUAUAAAGAAAGAAUAGCCAAACAAAAAACAAACUAAAACAAAUAACAUUAUUUUAAUAGACAAAAUCUGGGAGAGAGCAAUUAAACAUAAGCAAACAUAUAUAGACUGUGAUUCAUUCGUUAUCUACACAUGAUUUAUACUUACAUACUGAUUAAAAAUGGACACCUCAUAUACACAAUUUAUAUAAUAAAAUGAAAACGCAUAACAGAACUGUGUACAUGAUCAAUAGAAUUAUCAAACAAAAAAGAAUAAUUUAAACUAUUGAAAUAACACUUUACAGUGAAAAUAAUAUACAAAGCUACAAUUAUUUAUUACAUGUCUACUAGAAGUUAUUUACAAAUACAUAAUCUCACUCUCCCUCUUUCUCUCCUAAUUGACAAUACCAAUGUUGAUUUAACCCCAUGAAGUUACAUUAAUUUUUUGUUUUAUAAAUUAUAAUUUAAUUUGUGUAAAAAUAAAAAAAAUAUAAUCCUAUUUAAUUUGUUUUUAUCAAAUCUAACAUUUUGAAUAAAAAACAAACAAACAAAAAAAGAUAUUGAAGUUUAAUCAUAACAGGAUAGGGAAAUACAAAAUGAGCAAAAGGAAUAAAUCCAUUGGAAAGUGGAAAAUAAUUACGGAGAGAAAGAGUUUAACAAUGAUAAUACGGAAUUUCAAGUUGCAGACUAAUUGAUGAACUUUAGUCUGUAAGGCCACAAUGGUACAGUUUACAAAAACAAGAUAAUUUAUUUGACAGAACUGUCUUUAAUAGCGCUUUUGUCAUGUAAUUUUCAAUCAAUCGAGACCAUUUUAAAAAGGAAAUCCUACAAAUGAUAGAAAAUUCUUUCAACUUAAAUCCAUUUUAUGGCCUCUUAAACAUUAAUCAUAUAAUUUUUUUCUCAAGUUCCUUCACAGUUCCCCCCUCCCAAAAAAAAAAAAAAUAAACACAUU